UGGUAGUUGACUAUUGGGUCCGGGAACCCU
rnacentral:piRNA from 1 species